GUUUGAUCCUGGCUCAGGAUGAACGCUGGCGGUCUGCUUAACACAUGCAAGUCGAACGGAACUCAUUGAGUUCAGUGGCGGACGGGUGAGUAACGCGUGAGAAUCUGCCUAGAGGUUGGGGACAACCACUGGAAACGGUGGCUAAGACCCAAUGUGCUCUUUAGCGUGAAAGAUUUAUCGCCUCUAGAUGAGCUCGCGUCUGAUUAGCUAGUUGGUGAGGUAAAGGCUCACCAAGGCUGCGAUCAGUAGCUGGUCUGAGAGGAUGACCAGCCACACUGGGACUGAGACACGGCCCAGACUCCUACGGGAGGCAGCAGUGGGGAAUUUUCCGCAAUGGGCGAAAGCCUGACGGAGCAAGACCGCGUGAGGGAGGAAGGCUCUUGGGUUGUAAACCUCUUUUCUCAGGGAAGAACUCCAUGACGGUACCUGAGGAAUCAGCCUCGGCUAACUCCGUGCCAGCAGCCGCGGUAAUACGGAGGAGGCAAGCGUUAUCCGGAAUUAUUGGGCGUAAAGCGUCCGUAGGUGGUCGUGUAAGUCGGUCGUCAAAGCCAGAGGCUCAACCUCUGUCAGGCGGUGGAAACUGCAAGACUAGAGAGAGGUAGGGGUAGAGGGAAUUCCCAGUGUAGCGGUGAAAUGCGUAGAGAUUGGGAAGAACAUCGGUGGCGAAAGCGCUCUACUGGACCUCAUCUGACACUGAUGGACGAAAGCUAGGGGAGCGAAUGGGAUUAGAUACCCCAGUA
rnacentral:rRNA from 1 species